UAGUUGCUGAGACUAGAAGUUUUUUUAUAUUAUGAGUGUAAAUAUUUUUACGUAGUUUCAGACUAUAUAAUGUAGAGUUUAUUUUGCUUACUGUUUUUGCAACAUGAAAAUUCCAAGAUAGAUCACUCGAUAAAUGGAGUCCAAGACACUUAGCCGAGUCCGUAUACGGGAGUGUCACACCAUCAAUGAUGAUAGGGGAAGAUUUACUUCUAAGCCAUUCUCUCUGGCCCAAUCAGCAACAGCUUGGGCAUCAACAUUUAUCAGCCUUAUUGCUUCAUGGAGCUGAUACGAAUAGAAAU
rnacentral:lncRNA from 1 species